AGCGUACACGGUGGAUGCCCUGGCAGUCAGAGGCGAUGAAGGGCGUGCUAAUCUGCGAUAAGCGCCGGUAAGGUGAUAUGAACCGUUAUAACCGGCGAUACCCGAAUGGGGAAACCCAGUGUGACUCGUCACACUAUCAUUAACUGAAUCCAUAGGUUAAUGAGGCGAACCGGGGGAACUGAAACAUCUAAGUACCCCGAGGAAAAGAAAUCAACCGAGAUUCCCCCAGUAGCGGCGAGCGAACGGGGAGGAGCCCAGAGCCUGAAUCAGCAUGUGUGUUAGUGGAAGCGUCUGGAAAGGCGCGCGAUACAGGGUGACAGCCCCGUACACAAAAGCGCAUGUGCUGUGAGCUCGAUGAGUAGGGCGGGACACGUGGUAUCCUGUCUGAAUAUGGGGGGACCAUCCUCCAAGGCUAAAUACUCCUGACUGACCGAUAGUGAACCAGUACCGUGAGGGAAAGGCGAAAAGAACCCCGGCGAGGGGAGUGAAAAAGAACCUGAAACCGUGUACGUACAAGCAGUGGGAGCACCCUUCGGGGUGUGACUGCGUACCUUUUGUAUAAUGGGUCAGCGACUUAUAUUCUGUAGCAAGGUUAACCGAAUAGGGGAGCCGGAGGGAAACCGAGUCUUAAUUGGGCGUUAAGUUGCAGGGUAUAGACCCGAAACCCGGUGAUCUAGCCAUGGGCAGGUUGAAGGUUGGGUAACACUAACUGGAGGACCGAACCGACUAAUGUUGAAAAAUUAGCGGAUGACCUGUGGCUGGGGGUGAAAGGCCAAUCAAACCGGGAGAUAGCUGGUUCUCCCCGAAAGCUAUUUAGGUAGCGCCUCGUGAAUUCAUCUCCGGGGGUAGAGCACUGUUUCGGCUAGGGGGCCAUCCCGGCUUACCAACCCGAUGCAAACUGCGAAUACCGGAGAAUGUUAUCACGGGAGACACACGGCGGGUGCUAACGUCCGUCGUGAAGAGGGAAACAACCCAGACCGCCAGCUAAGGUCCCAAAGUCAUGGUUAAGUGGGAAACGAUGUGGGAAGGCCCAGACAGCCAGGAUGUUGGCUUAGAAGCAGCCAUCAUUUAAAGAAAGCGUAAUAGCUCACUGGUCGAGUCGGCCUGCGCGGAAGAUGUAACGGGGCUAAACCAUGCACCGAAGCUGCGGCAGCGACGUUUAUGCGUUGUUGGGUAGGGGAGCGUUCUGUAAGCCUGCGAAGGUGGCCUGUGAGGGUUGCUGGAGGUAUCAGAAGUGCGAAUGCUGACAUAAGUAACGAUAAAGCGGGUGAAAAGCCCGCUCGCCGGAAGACCAAGGGUUCCUGUCCAACGUUAAUCGGGGCAGGGUGAGUCGACCCCUAAGGCGAGGCCGAAAGGCGUAGUCGAUGGGAAACGGGUUAAUAUUCCCGUACUUGGUGUUACUGCGAAGGGGGGACGGAGAAGGCUAUGUUGGCCGGGCGACGGUUGUCCCGGUUUAAGCGUGUAGGCUGGUUUUCCAGGCAAAUCCGGAAAAUCAAGGCUGAGGCGUGACGACGAGGCACUACGGUGCUGAAGCAACAAAUGCCCUGCUUCCAGGAAAAGCCUCUAAGCAUCAGGUAACAUCAAAUCGUACCCCAAACCGACACAGGUGGUCAGGUAGAGAAUACCAAGGCGCUUGAGAGAACUCGGGUGAAGGAACUAGGCAAAAUGGUGCCGUAACUUCGGGAGAAGGCACGCUGACACGUAGGUGAAGUGAUUUACUCAUGGAGCUGAAGUCAGUCGAAGAUACCAGCUGGCUGCAACUGUUUAUUAAAAACACAGCACUGUGCAAACACGAAAGUGGACGUAUACGGUGUGACGCCUGCCCGGUGCCGGAAGGUUAAUUGAUGGGGUCAGCGCAAGCGAAGCUCCUGAUCGAAGCCCCGGUAAACGGCGGCCGUAACUAUAACGGUCCUAAGGUAGCGAAAUUCCUUGUCGGGUAAGUUCCGACCUGCACGAAUGGCGUAAUGAUGGCCAGGCUGUCUCCACCCGAGACUCAGUGAAAUUGAACUCGCUGUGAAGAUGCAGUGUACCCGCGGCAAGACGGAAAGACCCCGUGAACCUUUACUAUAGCUUGACACUGAACAUUGAGCCUUGAUGUGUAGGAUAGGUGGGAGGCUUUGAAGUGUGGACGCCAGUCUGCAUGGAGCCGACCUUGAAAUACCACCCUUUAAUGUUUGAUGUUCUAACGUGGACCCGUAAUCCGGGUUGCGGACAGUGUCUGGUGGGUAGUUUGACUGGGGCGGUCUCCUCCUAAAGAGUAACGGAGGAGCACGAAGGUUGGCUAAUCCUGGUCGGACAUCAGGAGGUUAGUGCAAUGGCAUAAGCCAGCUUGACUGCGAGCGUGACGGCGCGAGCAGGUGCGAAAGCAGGUCAUAGUGAUCCGGUGGUUCUGAAUGGAAGGGCCAUCGCUCAACGGAUAAAAGGUACUCCGGGGAUAACAGGCUGAUACCGCCCAAGAGUUCAUAUCGACGGCGGUGUUUGGCACCUCGAUGUCGGCUCAUCACAUCCUGGGGCUGAAGUAGGUCCCAAGGGUAUGGCUGUUCGCCAUUUAAAGUGGUACGCGAGCUGGGUUUAGAACGUCGUGAGACAGUUCGGUCCCUAUCUGCCGUGGGCGCUGGAGAACUGAGGGGGGCUGCUCCUAGUACGAGAGGACCGGAGUGGACGCAUCACUGGUGUUCGGGUUGUCAUGCCAAUGGCACUGCCCGGUAGCUAAAUGCGGAAGAGAUAAGUGCUGAAAGCAUCUAAGCACGAAACUUGCCCCGAGAUGAGUUCU
rnacentral:rRNA from 1 species